rnacentral:pre_miRNA from 14 species
UGUGUGUGUGUGUGUGUGUGUGUGUGUUAGACAUGAGACUGGCGAUGCGGCAGCAUCAACGUCAAACACACACACACACACACACACACACA